GAUGCACACAUCACAUAAUGCUUGUGGACCUUGUAAAGCGCUGAGGAGAGGUAGAAAGUUAGUCACUAACCCAGAAACCACAGUCACACCUGUUUGAAACAUGUACCAGAAUCCUCUCCCCUCCCUGAUCCCACCAAUGGUCAUUUUCCUCCCAAAACUCACUCUGCAUACUAAAUCCUAUUUAAACUGGGGAGGGGCAUGGCAGCUAUAUGACGCUUGGUACUGUCCACAGAUGAGAAAAUAAAGCUCUUCCUGACCAUACAUAUCCUGGCUCUGGGUGUCGGUGACUAGAAACCAUUUCAACUAAGUGCUGUUAGAGCCCUGGCUUCUAAGGAAGAGGAAAAUGUUUCUGUGGCAGGUUUUUCUCUAUUCUCUACUCCUUUUGGUUACCACUGGCUCUAUCUCUGUGGUAAAGGUGGGUGAAGGAUUGGUGAGGAAAGGAAAGCAAGCAGCUAAAACUCGGUUGUAGCAGAAAUCCAAGAAGCAUAGAGCUCAAAUAGAGAAAAUCAACUUUACUGAGCAGUCACAGUUUCUCCCAGAGCUUAAAUUGUCAGUGCCAGAAACACAAAAAAGAUGGUCUGCAAGGAUUCAGGUUUGAGACUGUUGUGAAACCUUCCUCCUGCCUGUACUUUCCACAACAAAGACCUGGAAGUGUCAGGGAAAUGUUUUGCUGGAAGCCAAGACAAUUUUUAGAAGAGGGGAAACAUCAAGUGGGAAAAAGAUUUAAAUAAUCUUGGAAUAUAGGAUCGGUGGAACUUUCAGGUGAGAGUUAACAGGAACUUCCCCCUAAUUUCACAACUUGAUUCUGGAUGUUGUGAGAGAAAGUGCCCACUUCCCACUGAAGCAAGUCACAGGUAUUGAAGGUGUUUGGCUGUUCCCUGUUUCAGCAAGCUGUAGGAGCUCCUCUUGUUUCAAUCCUUUAAUCCCAUUUGCUCUCAGGCAGGAGCAGCGAGUAGAAUGGCAGGAACAAGGCAAAAGGUUAAGCUCUGUGGACAUAACACAGGGCUGGCAACCAAAGCCUUCUCAGCCAGUCCUCGGAUGUGAUUACAUGCAGAGCCCCAUGAAGGACUUGAGGCCCACACCCUUUUUAUUACAAACUGGAUCUACUGUG